rnacentral:rRNA from 1 species
ACCGAUGUGGAGCCCUACGGGCAACACGAUUGGAAUGAGAACAUUCCAAACAUAUUAUCGAGGAACAAUUGGAGGGCAAGUCUGGUGCCAGCAGCCGCGGUAAUUCCAGCUCCAAGAGUGUAUAUUAAAGUUGUUGCGGUUAAAAGGCUCGUAGUUGAACUGCAGGACGAGGUGUCUGAAGCACGAGGCGGUCCGUCGUCGGCGUGAUAGGACCCUCCGAAUGGGUGAAUCACGAUUGCUCUUCCGGUGGGAUAUUAUUUCUCAUCGGGUAGACAUAUUACGCGUUUACCGUGAAGAAAUUUGUGUGUUAAAAGCAGGCAAAAAAGAUGCAUGAAAGCAUCAGCAUGGGAUAAAGAAAUAUGGCCUCUUCCUACGUUUCUUUGGCUUCAAAGGAUUAGGCAAUGAUCAACAGGGUCAGUCGGGGUCAUCAGUAUCGAUGGGCGAGAGGUGAAAUUCUAUGACCCUAUCGAGACUAACAAGAGCGAAAGCAUUCGACAAGGAUGUUUUCAUUAAUCAAGAACGAAAGUUGAGGGAUCAAAGAUGAUCAGAUACCGUUGUAGUCUCAACCGUAAAUGCUGUCGACUCGGGAUCGGGGAACGUUACAUGGAUGACCUCCCCAGCACCGUGCGAGAAAUUGCAAGUAUCCAGACUCCGGGGGGAGUAUGGUCGCAAGGCUGAAACUUAAAGGAAUUGACGGAAGGGCACCACCAGGAGUGGAGUCUGCGGCUUAAUUUGACCCAACACGGGAAAACUUACCAAGUCCAAACAUGACUAGGAUUGACAGACUGAUAGCUCUUUCUUGAUUUUAUGAUAAGUGGUGCAUGGCCGUUUUUAGUUGGUGGAGUGAUCUGUCAGGUUAAUUCCGAUAACGAACGAGACCUUAACCUAUUGAAUAGGGGGCGAAACCGCGGGGAGGGAAGGAGCCUCUUCGGGGGCGACGACUCGAACUGCACGAAUCUUCGAAAAACACUUCUCAAAGGAACUUUUUAUCCAUCGUAAACGGAAGUUUAAGGCAACAACAGGUCUGUGAUGCCCUUCGAUGUUUUGGGCUGCACGCGCAUUACACUGUUGUGCGCAACGAGCGACAUAUCCUAGCCCUGAGGGGUAGGGUAAGCUUUGAAAACGCAACGUGAUGGGGAUUGUGUUUUGUAAUUAUCACACACGAACGAGGAAUUCCUAGUAAGUGUGAGUCAUUAACUCGCGCUGAUUACGUCCCUGCCCUUUGUACACACCGCCCGUCGCUCCUACCGAUCGAACGGCCCGAUGAGAACUCGAGAUGGCGGGUCGACGUCCAUUUUACGUGGUUCGUCUGCCCGUCAGAACCUGUCCGAAUCUUGUCGUUUAGAGGAAGGAGAAGUC